rnacentral:rRNA from 1 species
AUACGGAGGGUCCAAGCGUUAUCCGGAAUCAUUGGGUUUAAAGGGUCCGCAGGCGGUCAAUUAAGUCAGAGGUGAAAGCCCAUCGCUCAACGAUGGAACUGCCUUUGAUACUGGUUGACUUGAGUUAUACGGAAGUAGAUAGAAUAAGUAGUGUAGCGGUGAAAUGCAUAGAUAUUACUUAGAAUACCGAUUGCGAAGGCAGUCUACUACGUAUAUACUGACGCUGAGGGACGAAAGCGUGGGGAACGAACAGGAUUAGAUACCCUAGUAGUCC